GGGUAGUUUGACUGGGGCGGUCUCCUCCUAAAGAGUAACGGAGGAGCACGAAGGUUGGCUAAUCCUGGUCGGACAUCAGGAGGUUAGUGCAAUGGCAUAAGCCAGCUUGACUGCGAGCGUGACGGCGCGAGCAGGUGCGAAAGCAGGUCAUAGUGAUCCGGUGGUUCUGAAUGGAAGGGCCAUCGCUCAACGGAUAAAAGGUACUCCGGGGAUAACAGGCUGAUACCGCCCAAGAGUUCAUAUCGACGGCGGUGUUUGGCACCUCGAUGUCGGCUCAUCACAUCCUGGGGCUGAAGUAGGUCCCAAGGGUAUGGCUGUUCGCCAUUUAAAGUGGUACGCGAGCUGGGUUUAGAACGUCGUGAGACAGUUCGGUCCCUAUCUGCCGUGGGCGCUGGAGAACUGAGGGGGGCUGCUCCUAGUACGAGAGGACCGGAGUGGACGCAUCACUGGUGUUCGGGUUGUCAUGCCAAUGGCACUGCCCGGUAGCUAAAUGCGGAAGAGAUAAGUGCUGAAAGCAUCUAAGCACGAAACUUGCCCCGAGAUGAGUUCUCCCUGACUCCUUGAGAGUCCUGAAGGAACGUUGAAGACGACGACGUUGAUAGGCCGGGUGUGUAAGCGCAGCGAUGCGUUGAGCUAACCGGUACUAAUGAACCGUG
rnacentral:rRNA from 1 species